GACGAACGCUGGCGGCGUGCCUAACACAUGCAAGUCGAGCGGAGACAUGGAGGAGCUUGCUCCGAGAUGUUUUAGCGGCGGACGGGUGAGUAACGCGUGAGCAACCUUUCUCUCAGUGGGGAAGUAACACACCGAAAGGUGUACUAAUACCGCAUGAGACCACAGUACCGCAUGGUACAGAGGUCAAAGAUUUAUCGCUGAGAGGUGGGCUCGCGUCCGAUUAGAUAGUUGGUGAGGUAACGGCUCACCAAGUCGACGAUCGGUAGCCGACCUGAGAGGGUGAUCGGCCACAUUGGGACUGAGACACGGCCCAA
rnacentral:rRNA from 1 species